UGGGGAAUAUUGCACAAUGGGCGCAAGCCUGAUGCAGCCAUGCCGCGUGUGUGAAGAAGGCCUUCGGGUUGUAAAGCACUUUCAGCGAGGAGGAAGGGUAGUGUGUUAAUAGCACAUUGCAUUGACGUUACUCGCAGAAGAAGCACCGGCUAACUCCGUGCCAGCAGCCGCGGUAAUACGGAGGGUGCAAGCGUUAAUCGGAAUUACUGGGCGUAAAGCGCACGCAGGCGGUUUGUUAAGUCAGAUGUGAAAUCCCCGCGCUUAACGUGGGAACUGCAUUUGAAACUGGCAAGCUAGAGUCUUGUAGAGGGGGGUAGAAUUCCAGGUGUAGCGGUGAAAUGCGUAGAGAUCUGGAGGAAUACCGGUGGCGAAGGCGGCCCCCUGGACAAAGACUGGCGCUCAGGUGCGAAAGCGUGGGGAGCAAACA
rnacentral:rRNA from 1 species